AACGCGAAGAACCUUACCUGGUCUUGACAUCCACAGAACUUAGCAGAGAUGCUUUGGUGCCUUCGGGAACUGUGAGACAGGUGCUGCAUGGCUGUCGUCAGCUCGUGUUGUGAAAUGUUGGGUUAAGUCCCGCAACGAGCGCAACCCUUAUCCUUUGUUGCCAGCGGUCCGGCCGGGAACUCAAAGGAGACUGCCAGUGAUAAACUGGAGGAAGGUGGGGAUGACGUCAAGUCAUCAUGGCCCUUACGACCAGGGCUACACACGUGCUACAAUGGCGCAUACAAAGAGAAGCGACCUCGCGAGAGCAAGCGGACCUCAUAAAGUGCGUCGUAGUCCGGAUUGGAGUCUGCAACUCGACUCCAUGAAGUCGGAAUCGCUAGUAAUCGUGGAUCAGAAUG
rnacentral:rRNA from 1 species